rnacentral:rRNA from 1 species
GACGAACGCUGGCGGCGUGCUUAACACAUGCAAGUCGAACGGAAAGGCCCUGCUUUUGUGGGGUGCUCGAGUGGCGAACGGGUGAGUAACACGUGAGUAACCUGCCCUUGACUUUGGGAUAACUUCAGGAAACUGGGGCUAAUACCGGAUAGGAGCUCCUGCUGCAUGGUGGGGGUUGGAAAGUUUCGGCGGUUGGGGAUGGACUCGCGGCUUAUCAGCUUGUUGGUGGGGUAGUGGCUUACCAAGGCUUUGACGGGUAGCCGGCCUGAGGGGGUGACCGGCCACAUUGGGCCUGAGCUGCGGCCCAGACUCCUACGGGAGGCAGCAGUGGGGAAUAUUGCACAAUGGGCGGAAGCCUGAUGCAGCAACGCCGCGUGCGGGAUGACGGCCUUCGGGUUGUAAACCGCUUUCGCCUGUGACGAAGCGUGAGUGACGGUAAUGGGUAAAGAAGCACCGGCUAACUACGAG